CACGUAGGGGGCAAGCGUUGUCCGGAUUUAUUGGGCGUAAAGAGCUCGUAGGCGGCUUAGUAAGUCGGGUGUGAAACCUCCAGGCUCAACCUGGAGACGCCACCCGAUACUGCUGUGGCUAGAGUCCGGUAGGGGAGCGUGGAAUUCCUGGUGUAGCGGUGAAAUGCGCAGAUAUCAGGAGGAACACCAGCGGCGAAGGCGGGUUGCUGGGCCGACACUGACGCUGAGGCGCGAAAGCUAGGGGAGCGAACGGG
rnacentral:rRNA from 1 species